GACGAACGCUGGCGGCGUGCUUAACACAUGCAAGUCGAACGGAAAGGCCCUGCUUUUGUGGGGUGCUCGAGUGGCGAACGGGUGAGUAACACGUGAGUAACCUGCCCUUGACUUUGGGAUAACUUCAGGAAACUGGCGCUAAUACCGGAUAGGAGCUCCUGCUGCAUGGUGGGGGUUGGAAAGUUUCGGCGGUUGGGGAUGGACUCGCGGCUUAUCAGCUUGUUGGUGGGGUAGUGGCUUACCAAGGCUUUGACGGGUAGCCGGCCUGAGAGGGUGAACGGCCACAUUGGGACUGAGAUACGGCCCAGACUCCUACGGGAGGCAGCAGUGGGGAAUAUUGCACAAUGGGCGGAAGCCUGAUGCAGCAACGCCGCGUGCGGGAUGACGGCCUUCGGGUUGUAAACCGCUUUCGCCUGUGACGAAGCGUGAGUGACGGUAAUGGGUAAAGAAGCACCGGCUAACUACGUG
rnacentral:rRNA from 1 species